rnacentral:SRP_RNA from 1 species
GCCGGGCAUGGUGGUGCGUGCUUGUAGUCCCAGCUACUCGGGAGGCUGAGGUGGGAGAAUCCCUUGAGCCCAGGAGUUCUGGUCUGCAGUGCGCUUUGCCGAUCAGGUGUCUGCACUAGGUUCGGCAUCAAUAUGGUGACCUCCCGGGAGCAGGGGACCUUCAGGUUGCCUAAGGACGGGUGAACCAACCCAGGUCGGAAACAGAGCUGGUCAAAACUCCCGUGCUGAUCAGUAGUGGGAUCUCGCCUGUGAAUAGCCAUUGCACCUCAGCCUGGGCAACAUAGCGAGACCCUGUCUCU